UACGUAGGCAGCAGCGUUGUUCGGAUUACGUGGCGUAAAAGGGGUGUGUAGGCGGUUCUUUAAGUUUGGUGUGAAAUCUCCGGCUCAACCGGAGGUGCGCGAAUACUGAGGAACUUAGAGUACGGGAGAGGAAGUGGAAUUCCGAUGUAGCGGUGAAAUGACGUAGAUAUCGGGAGGAACACCGGUGGCGAAGGCGGCGACCUGGGUAGACUAGUGACGCUGAGGCGGACGAAAACGGUGGGGAGCCAAAGCAGG
rnacentral:rRNA from 1 species